AUUGAACGCUGGCGGCAGGCCUAACACAUGCAAGUCGAGCGGAGCGGCGGACGGGUGGGUAAUGCCUGGGUAGCGGUCUGGUAGUGGGGGAGACCGUCCGGAAACGGGCGCUAAUACCGCAUACUCUCAGCCGGGCCUAGGCCGUAGUAGCUAGUUGGUGGGGUAAAGGCCUACCAAGGCGACGAUCCGUAACUGGUCUGAGAGGAUGAUCAGACACACUGGAACUGAGACACGGUCCAGACUCCUACGGGAGGCAGCAGUGGGGAAUAUUGGACAAUGGGCGAAAGCAUGAGACAGCAAUGCCGCGUGUGUGAAGAAGGUCUUCGGAUUGUAAAGCACUUUAAGUUGGGAGGCGUUACCAACAGAAUAAGCACCGGCUAACUACGUGCCAGCAGCCGCGGUAAGAC
rnacentral:rRNA from 1 species